rnacentral:rRNA from 1 species
CAGCAGCCACGGGAAUACGAAGGGGGCUAGCGUUGCUCGGAAUCACUGGGCGUAAAGGGUGCGUAGGCGGGUCUUUAAGUCAGGGGUGAAAUCCUGGAGCUCAACUCCAGAACUGCCUUUGAUACUGAAGAUCUUGAGUUCGGGAGAGGUGAGUGGAACUGCGAGUGUAGAGGUGAAAUUCGUAGAUAUUCGCAAGAACACCAGUGGCGAAGGCGGCUCACUGGCCCGAUACUGACGCUGAGGCACGAAAGCGUGGGGAGCAAACAGGAUUAGAUACCCCUGUAGUCCCUGUCUCUUAUAC